rnacentral:rRNA from 1 species
UACGUGGGGCGCGAGCGUUGUCCGGAAUCACUGGGCGUAAAGCGCGCGCAGGCGGCCCGCGAGGUGUCACGUGAAAGCCCCGGGCUCAACCCGGGAGGGUCGUGGCAAACCGGCGGGCUUGAGGCCGGUAGAGGUGGGUGGAACUCCUGGUGGAGUGGUGAAAUGCGUAGAUAUCAGGAGGAACACCGGUGGUGUAGACGGCUCUCUGGACCGUAACUGACGCUGAGGCACGAAAGCGUGGGUAGCAAACAGG